GUGCCAUCUUUCCAUCGCAAUACUGAAGACGAGGGAAAUGCAAGCACAUCUGUUCACGGUGCUAGGCUACAUCACGUAGCAUGCCAGACGGACCCACCAAAGAUGCGCACACAUGGAACGCAGCUUUCUAUGAAAACACUGCGACCUCACUACAAAAGUACAGGCACACAGAAAACUGUGCUGCACUGAUGUCGGUGUUGGGACCUCAGCUGUAAGAGACCUCGCUUGGAGGAGGGACAGGACAACCCAAGUUGUUGCAGUAUGGACUUCGGAGAGCCACAGGAUGCUACCUAUGAUCCUGAUGACUCGAUCACAGUCUUGACUGAGUCAGCAG